rnacentral:rRNA from 1 species
AGUGAACGCUGGCGGCAGGCCUAACACAUGCAAGUCGAACGGCAGCACAGUAAGAGCUUGCUCUUACGGGUGGCGAGUGGCGGACGGGUGAGGAAUACAUCGGAAUCUACUUUUUCGUGGGGGAUAGCGUAGGGAAACUUACGCUAAUACCGCAUACGACCUACGGGUGAAAGCAGGGGAUCUUCGGACCUUGCGCGACUGAAUGAGCCGAUGUCGGAUUAGCUAGUUGGCGGGGUAAAGGCCCACCAAGGCGACGAUCCGUAGCUGGCCUGAGAGGAUGAUCGGCCACACUGGAACUGAGACACGGUCCAGACUCCUACGGGAGGCAGCAGUGGGGAAUCUUGGACAAUGGGCGCAAGCCUGAUCCAGCCAUGCCGCGUGGGUGAAGAAGGUCUUCGGGUUGUAAAGCCCUUUUGUUAGGGAAGAACAGCUGCAGGAUAAUCCCCCGCUGUUCUGACGGUACCCAAAGAGUAAGCCCCGGCUAACUUCGUG